AGGCCACCGCCUUCAGCAGCCCCCUCCUCUUCAUCUCCAGGCAAGCAAAUGAGAUCCUAGAGCAGACCCUUCCUCUUCUCCAAGUCAGAUUUAGUUGACAUCCUACCGACUGCCAUGCUCUACACGCACAAAAUAUGAUAGGUUCCAUGAAUAAAUUAUACCUUCAAUGUUCAUUUUCCCAUACAUAGGAUGUGUUUCAACUAUUUUUGAAUAAUACGAAACAGUAUAUACGUCUUAGGAUCUGUCUUCAUAUAUAAAAGAAUAAAUUACUUGAGAAGAAAACUCAGGCAAUGUAUUUUCAUUUCAGGCACAGGCAUUUGGUUCCCAAAAGAACAGUUUGUCCCCUUUUUCUUCUUAAUGUGUUUGUAUCAAAUAUAAAAGUGAACCUAUAGUAACUCUCAAAAGGGAGCAUUAUUUUUACAGCGGGAAUUUAAGGUAAUCAGGUUCUCGUUUCCCUGGUUCUCUGACACGUUCCUGUCUUGCCAGCCUCGUCACACUGCACCAUCCUGAGGCAAUGAGGGCUUCUGCUCAUCAGAAAGGAGUGACUGCGGUAGGGGACUGUGACCAGGCUUGUGCCACACAGAGAGUGGAGCUCUAUUGGAGAGUAAAAAGGAUACGUGGUCAGAUCCUGCGUUGUUUAAGGGCUCAUUUAGAAGAGAUCAUUUAAAGAAAUUUUUAAAAAACAAGAAAACUUUGUGUGCAGAAUCUCAAAGGAUAUAUCUUCUAGGAAAACUUGUAGGAAAUACAGAUGUUUUAGUCAGUUUCCUAAAAACUUAUUUGAGCAAAGCCUUAGAACUCCCCAUGGAGGUAGGCAGGAGCACUAUUAGAGACUUUCCCCCCUACCCCUGGUAACAGAACUUGUGUAAAAUUGCUGAGAGAAGCCAAACCAUUUGUGUCCCAGGGACUGAGAGCAAACUACAGUCAGGUGAGUUGGGUGGACUGGACGGGGAGGCAGGCUAGUGGAUUUCUGAAGACGAUGGCAGGUCUAAAGGUCCUACUUGUAAGGCCAGUGAGAAAGCAGGGAAGAAGUUAAAGCUGGAGAGUGUUAGGAAUGAAAUUUGUGCUUCUAAGUGAUAUUAGCCCCACCCAGCAGCCUCUGGAGAGGGGAGUGGUUGCUGGAGGUUGAGCUCUAGAAUCACUCUUGAACACUGGAGACCACCCUCCAGGCUGGUGAGAGCUUCCAUCUGCUGGAGGGUAAUCCUGCCCACCUCCGUGGGGACUGAUGGAUCCUGCCCUGGGGACCCUUCUGGACCUCACCCCGUGUACCUCUUCAUCUGACUGUUCAUCCUUGUAAUAAACCAGUAAAACUGAGUAAAGUGUUUUCCUAAAUUCUAGGAGUCAUUCUAGAAAAUUGCCAAGCCUAAUUUGAGGGAUUGUGGGAACCCUUGAAUCCACAAUGCUCUCGGCAGAAAAUGUGGGCAGCCUGGGCACUACAUUUAUGGUUGGCAUCUGAAGUAGAGGAAGUCUCAUGGGGCUAAGACUUUGAACUUGUGGGAUCUGAUGCUGACUCCAGGAAGAUGGUGUCAGAAUGAACUGAAUCCUUGGACACCCAGGCAAUGUCAGAACAUUAGUUGUUGGGGUGAAGAAAACUAUUCAUACAAAUUUUUAGAUUUUGAGAAAUCCAUGACUGUUGUCUGUCACAGGGUGUUGGUCGGUAAGUGGGUGGAAGAAAUGGACGUAUAAGGGAAGUAAGAAGGCGGAACUAACAACAUAUGCUUUUUUGUCUCAGAUGUUAUUGAGCACGAGCCAUGUAACCAGGCAUUGGGAUAGGUCCCGUGUAUGCAGUUGGAAUAAAGUUGCUUUUUUUUUUUUUUUUUCUGUCCUGCAUGCAUGCAGAAAAGAGUGCAUGGGGAUUGAGGUGGGCAAUAAAAGGGAUGGAAUUAGGGGCUGAUAGACUUUAAGUGGUGUCAGUGGAUGAGCUGGAAAGGGAGAGGCUCUGAUUGCUGGAGGGAUCUCUGGUUCUUCAUCUGACAGGGCAUUCCUGCUUUUCCUGCAUACGGUUUGCACUCUCUGUGAGUGGAAAUCCGGAGGAAGAGACGUGGUGGCCGAACCCUUGAUGAUGCAACUGCAGAAAAACAGGAUUAACAUACAGAGGAUUGAUGCAGUGAUCAUUGUUGUUAACAAUGGAGAGCUCACUGCAGGAGAGAUCACUGUGGGGCCAUCCUUCGGACGAGCCAUCUCAGGAGCCCCUAACCGGACCGCAGGACCUGUCUGCCCUGAUACCUUAUAAAGAACAAGAAUCUGUGACCCUCAAAGAUAUAGCUGUAGACUUUACCCAGGAAGAGUGGGCCCUGAUGGACACAUCCCAGAGAACGCUGUACAGAGAUGUGAUGCUGGAGAACAUUAGUCAUCUGGUCUCUGUGGGGUGUCAUUUCUUCAGAUCAGAUGUGAUCUCCCCGUGGGAGCAAAGAGGGGAGCUGUGGAGGGAAGAAAGAGGACCUCCCCAAGGCUGGAGUCCAGGUGAG